AAGAAUUAGUCGAGUUACACAUUAAACUUCUCAGAAAAAGACGUAAAUAUAUUCAACGGGACAAAUGGGAAAGAGCAUUAGUUAAAUUUAUCUCAGAAUAUUCUAAUGUCGAUGCUUAAGAACUCGAAAGAUAUGGAUACAAAAAUGUCAAUCUCGGUAUCAGACUCGCUGCUUUCAAGAAUCUCCUUGAAGCUCAAUUUGAUUACAAUGCCAAAUUUAAAACCGGUAUCAAUGCUAUGGAAGCUCAAUCUCUCCGUUUGGCUCCCAUAGGAAGGGAUAUUCAUGGUAACCAAUAUUGGUUUCAACUUGAUUCUGAAUUUUGUUUAAGACUUUACCGCGAAGAGCCGGAUGAUGAAAAGUCUUGGAUUCUUAUUUGCAAAAACAAAGUUGAUCUCGAGUUUUUAAUCUCAAGCCUACAAACACAAACUCUUGACCAACUUAAAGAUUCUGCACCAACGGCCGAUACGGAGCAUAAGGUCCACUUUCUCAUUCGACCAUAAGCUUAUUCCCAUUGAAG